GACGAACGCUGGCGGCGUGCCUAACACAUGCAAGUCGUACGGAGUUCACUUGGAAGCUUGCUUCCGAGUGAACUUAGUGGCGGACGGGUGAGUAACGCGUGAGCAACCUGCCUCACAGAGGGGGAUAACACACGGAAACGUGUGCUAAUACCGCAUAAUCCGAUGAAGCGGCAUCGCUUUAUCGGCAAAGGAGCAAUCCGCUGUGAGAUGGGCUCGCGUCCGAUUAGAUAGUUGGUGAGGUAACGGCUCACCAAGUCUACGAUCGGUAGCCGGACUGAGAGGUUGGACGGCCACAUUGGGACUGAGACACGGCCCAAACUCCUACGGGAGGCAGCAGUGAGGGAUAUUGCACAAUGGGCGAAAGCCUGAUGCAGCGACGCCGCGUGAGGGAUGACGGUCUUCGGAUUGUAAACUACUGUCCUUGGUGAAGAAGAAAGUAGACGGUAGCCAAGAGGAAGCACGGCUAACUAC
rnacentral:rRNA from 1 species